rnacentral:tRNA from 1 species
GGAGAGGUGGCCGAGUGGCUGAAGGCGCGGGUCUCGAAAACCCGUUUUCACCUUGUGUGGAACGAGAGUUCGAAUCUCUCCCUCUCCU